UAUUCCCCAUUUGCUCCCUUGGUUCAGGAAAAGAGAUUGAGGGAUGAGAGUGGAGAGGAGAAGACGUUGAAGGGAAGCUACUCUGCAAAUUACCAUCCAUUCCCAUGCCUCUUUCUUUUGGAUUUGAGGUGACAUUCUUCAAUCUAUAUCCAUUGCAGCAACAGA